GACGAACGCUGGCGGCGUGCUUAACACAUGCAAGUCGAACGGUGAAGCGCCUUCCUUUUGGUGGGUGUGGAUGAGUGGCGAACGGGUGAGUAACACGUGAGUAACCUGCCCCCUUCUUCUGGAUAACCGCAUGAAAGUGUGGCUAAUACGGGAUAUUCUGGGUCUGUCGCAUGAUGGGUCUGGGAAAGAUAUUGUUUCGGUGGGGGAUGGGCUCGCGGCCUAUCAGCUUGUUGGUGGGGUGAUGGCCUACCAAGGCGGUGACGGGUAGCCGGCCUGAGAGGGUGGACGGUCACACUGGGACUGAGACACGGCCCAGACUCCUACGGGAGGCAGCAGUGGGGAAUAUUGCACAAUGGGCGCAAGCCUGAUGCAGCGACGCCGCGUGAGGGAUGGAGGCCUUCGGGUUGUGAACCUCUUUCGCCAGUGAAGCAGGCCUGCCUCGUUUGUGGGUGGGUUGACGGUAGCUGGAUAAGAAGCGCCGGCUAACUACGUG
rnacentral:rRNA from 1 species